rnacentral:rRNA from 1 species
GAGUUUGAUCCUGGCUCAGAUUGAACGCUGGCGGCAGGCCUAACACAUGCAAGUCGAGCGGAUGACGGGAGCUUGCUCCUUGAUUCAGCGGCGGACGGGUGAGUAAUGCCUAGGAAUCUGCCUGGUAGUGGGGGACAACGUUUCGAAAGGAACGCUAAUACCGCAUACGUCCUACGGGAGAAAGCAGGGGACCUUCGGGCCUUGCGCUAUCAGAUGAGCCUAGGUCGGAUUAGCUAGUUGGUGGGGUAAUGGCUCACCAAGGCGACGAUCCGUAACUGGUCUGAGAGGAUGAUCAGUCACACUGGAACUGAGACACGGUCCAGACUCCUACGGGAGGCAGCAGUGGGGAAUAUUGGACAAUGGGCGAAAGCCUGAUCCAGCCAUGCCGCGUGUGUGAAGAAGGUCUUCGGAUUGUAAAGCACUCUAAGUUGGGGGGAAGGGCAGUAAGUUAAUACCUUGCUGUUUUGACGUUACCGACAGAAUAAGCACCGGCUAACUCUGUGCCAGCCGCCGCGG